rnacentral:misc_RNA from 1 species
GCUUCUUGUUCUUCUUCUUCUUCUUCCACUGCUGGCAUUCCAUAACACAUCCAAAAAAAAAUCCUCUUUCUCAUUUUGGACAUGCACAAGUUCCAACUUUACUUCUACCCAUCGAUUGCUCUUUGUCUUUCUUUCCCAGUUCGUGUAAGAGUCAAAAGUUUCGACACAAAUCUGAGUAAAAAAUGUCUUGGCAUAUGCAGACCAGUUGAAAGGAGAAAUUUUGGCGGUCGCUUUCUGUGGGAG